rnacentral:tRNA from 1 species
GCAUAGCUCAAUUGGUUAGAGCGUGGUGCUGAUAAUGCCAAGGUUGGAGGUUUGAUCCCCGUAUGGGACA